rnacentral:rRNA from 1 species
CCUACGGGUGGCAGCAGUCGAGAAUCAUUCACAAUGGGGGAAACCCUGAUGGUGCGACGCCGCGUGGGUGAAUGAAGGUCUUCGGAUUUUAAACCCCUGUCAUGUGGGAGCAAAUUACAAUGAUAGUACAAGAAGAGGAAGAGACGGCUAACUCUGUGCCAGCAGCCGCGGUAAUACAGAGGUCGCAAGCGUUGUUCGGAUUCACUGGGCGUAAAGCGUGCGUAGGCUGUAUCGUAAGUCGUGUGUGAAAGGCGCGGGCUCAACCCGCGGACGGAAAAUGAUACUGCGUGACUAGAGUAAUGGAGGGGGAAGCGGAAUUCGCGGUGUAGCAGUGAAAUGCGUAGAUAUCGAGAGGAACACUCGUGGCGAAGGCGGGUUGCUGGACAUUAACUGACGCUGAGGCACGAAGGCCAGGGGAGCGAAAGGGAUUAGAUACCCCAGUAGUC